rnacentral:rRNA from 1 species
UACAGAGGUCUCAAGCGUUGUUCGGAUUCAUUGGGCGUAAAGGGUGCGUAGGCGGCGCGGUAAGUCGGGUGUGAAAUCUUGGAGCUUAACUCCGAAACUGCAUUCGAUACUGCCGUGCUUGAGGACUGGAGAGGAGACUGGAAUUUACGGUGUAGCGGUGAAAUGCGUAGAUAUCUGGAGGAAUACCGGUGGCGAAGGCGGCAUCCUGGACCGGCAUUGACGCUGAUGAGCGAAAGCUAGGGGAGCAAACGGG